ensembl:lncRNA
UUUGCAACCCCGUGGGCUGCAGCACGCCAGGCUUCCCUGUCCUUCACCAUCUCCCAGAGCUCGCUCAAAUUCACGUCCGUUGAGUCGGUGAUGCCAUCCAGCUCUCAUCCUCUGUCGUCCCCUUCUCCUCCUGCCUUCAAUCUUUCCCAGCAUCAGGGUCUUUUCUAAUGAGUUGGCUCUUCCCAUCAGAUGGCCAAAGCAUGGGCGCUUCAGCUUCAGCAUCUGAAUGUAUACUCAGGGACAGAGAUUAUAAAGACCAGACCCAGAACUUGAGUUUCUUCAGUUCUGUCCUCUCACGUGGCCACCUGGGGAUUUGCAUUUCGUUUUAGAACCGUGAAACAGAGUGUGAACUGCAAGUUUCGUGUUGUGUGGAUUUCAUCUUCAUAAAAAGAGAAGGAAAGAAAAAACAACAACUUCGUGGACCUCAUGGAAAAGGUACAAACCACGAGAUGCCGGAGAUGCUGCCUCCUUAUCCCGGGUGGGAGCAGGGAGAGGCUGCAGGUCUGCCCUUCCAGGAGGCUGUCGGCCCGGGGGUGAGCAGCCAGCCGCCCCGUGCCAGGCCAGGGCAGCUGUGUGGUGGCUCUGCGCGGUCCUAGCUAGGAGCGGGCACACACAGUCAGGAAGGGGCAGUUCUCGGCUGAGUCCCCACUGGCUGGCGCUGGGGGCUGCAGGGGUGGUGGUCAGAGAUCUCCUGUCACCUGCGGUCUGCCCAUUGCCGGUUUGCGUGCUGAGUUUCACUGGAAGGCGUGGGCAGUAACACUCCUGUGCCCCCACGAGCGGUGAGUGCCAUGGAA